ensembl:lncRNA
GGCUGUCCCGAGACUGGGCCUCAGCAUGACCCAUCUUAGAAGUGUUGCCUCGAAGGAGAGGUAAUGAUCGCCAAAUCUCCUUCGGCAUUCUAUUCUGCACUUCGGAGAUUGUGUGGGAAGGUAACAGCCCUGAAGAUCUGAGCCUGACACGAGAGCUGCCAGCAAGAAUAGCAAAAGCAAAGUUUCCAGCUGUGGAAGAUCUUCAUUCAAGAACUUGCCCUCACAAACCAUCACACUUCUUUAAAUUGGGAGUGGGAUGUGGGUGCUUCCAAGUGGAUGACCUAACUCAAGCAAGAAACUCUUCUGACCCAUUCUCAUCCUUUGAAGUCCUCUCUCACGUAUGGAGAGACCUAUGGGAGGGAGAGCCUCUCUGCUCUGCAGGAACAGUGGAAUCAGUUGUGAAUGUUGCAGAAACAGUUGGCUUAGGCUUCCCAACAUGCCAUCUGUGAGCAAACAGAUUUUUUAGAUGACUGAUUCCAACAAAAUGCACAUUCUUUUUAUAUUUAUUUACAUACUUACAUGUAUAUUGAUUAAAAUCAGUCCAGUUUUGUUACGUUAAGUCAGUCUGUUGAUAAUUA